AGGAAACCACUUUCCCCAGCUCGUAGCGCUUUGAAACUGACUCAAUAGCGUUUUCAUCUCCUGAAAAUCAUA